CCCCUAUGAUGAAUUGCCAUGCUAAUACUGAGAUGCCAGGUAGGGUUUUUUUUUUACCCUGCGUUGGGUGUCGUUGAGAAAAAUCUCAUUUUUCAUAUCUGAGGGGC
rfam:Erinaceus europaeus unplaced genomic scaffold scaffold00027, whole genome shotgun sequence